AUUGAACGCUGGCGGAAUGCUUUACACAUGCAAGUCGAGCGGCAGCGCGGGGGCAACCCUGGCGGCGAGCGGCGAACGGGUGAGUAACACAUCGGAACGUACCCUAUCGUGGGGGAUAACGAAUCGAAAGAUUCGCUAAUACCGCAUACGACCUGAGGGUGAAAGCGGGGGAUCGCAAGACCUCGCGCGAUUGGAGCGGCCGAUGUCGGAUUAGCUAGUUGGUGAGGUAAAGGCUCACCAAGGCGACGAUCCGUAGCUGGUCUGAGAGGACGGCCAGCCACACUGGGACUGAGACACGGCCCAGACUCCUACGGGAGGCAGCAGUGGGGAAUUUUGGACAAUGGGGGCAACCCUGAUCCAGCCAUUCCGCGUGAGUGAAGAAGGCCUUCGGGUUGUAAAGCUCUUUCGGCAGGAACGAAACGGUGGAGGCUAAUACCUUUCAUCAAUGACGGUACCUGAAGAAGAAGCACCGGCUAACUACGUGCCAGCCGCCGCAGUAACAC
rnacentral:rRNA from 1 species